CAUUGAUCUGCUGAGUGGACUAAAGAUGGGGGAGCAAGGUGGUUGGCUGGAGGCUAACAGAGGAGACUGGGCAGCCAUCUUUGAUUCCUAGACCCAGACCGAUGCAGUCAAGUGCCCAGGGAAACUGAGCAGGCAAUGGACCAGAGGCGACAUAGUGGAGUCUGCAGUCCAUGAGGACCUGCGGAUAUCCGGUGUUGCUGGUGGGAGAGAGUGGACCUCUGAAGCAGCUGGUCACAAACCCUGACCCUUGGUCAGAACCAGUCACUCUUCCUUGCCGAGUCAGAACCAGGACCGAACCACGAGGGUCRGUGCAGGACUGGGACAGGGCCUGGGGCUAAUAGGGAUAGACCAUCCUGUUUCCAGGGUUCCAGGGUGUUAAACACAAGAGGUACCUAGCCUAUAACACAGCACACAAUCCCAACAACACCCAAACAAUGGCUCGAGGUCAAGGAGGGAGCUCARAGACUAACCACCUGACUGAGGAUGGUGGCUCCUGUUUCUACCUCCUCUGGUGUCAUUGGGUCACAACGUGGGAGACCCAGCGUUAGGACGGACGCCAACAAGCAGUAGUACGCCUGCCCAACGUGUGGAAAGGGCUUCGCUUAGGCGAACUACACUACAUGACCAAAAGUAUGUGGACACCUGC